rnacentral:rRNA from 1 species
CCUACGGGGGGCAGCAGUGGGGAAUAUUGCGCAAUGGGGGAAACCCUGACGCAGCAACGCCGCGUGAGUGAAGACGUAUCUCGGUAUGUAAAGCUCUAUCAGCGGGGAAGAAGGAAGACGGUACCCGACUAAGAAGCCCCGGCUAACUACGUGCCAGCAGCCGCGGUAAGACGUAGGGGGCGAGCGUUAUCCGGAUUUACUGGCGGUAAAGGGAGCGUGGAGGGCGUCGAAAGUCGGAAGUGAAAGCCCGUGGCUCAACCGCGGAACCGCUUUGGAAACUGCGUGGCUGGAGUGCUGGAGAGGUAGGCGGAAUUCCUGGUGUAGCGGUGAAAUGCGUAGAUAUCAGGAGGAACACAGGUGGCGAAGGCGGCUUACUGGACAGUGACUGACGUUGAGGCUCGAAAGCGUGGGGAGCGAACAGGAUUAGAUACCCGUGUAGUC